UAACUUAUGUCCAACAUGGAACAACUCUCUCAAGUGAUUAAUCACAAAAAGGGGGAGAAAAAGAGGCAUAGAAAAAGGUAGAGUAAGAGGCAUUCAAGAAAGGGCAAGGAGAGCAAAAGCAAACAAAUCAAGAAGACAAAGAAGAAGAUGGUUCAUCAUCUGAGGGGGGGAGCCAAAGGAUGAUGAGCCUAAGACUGAGGGGGAGCCAGAAGAAGAGGAGAAAGAGGAGCAAACAAAUCAAACAGAUGAGUAGCUGAUCAACAGACAUCCUGGAAACAUACAUGGAGCCAAAGAGGUACAUCUCUAAUUAGUUAGGUAUGUUCUGGAUCCAGG
rnacentral:lncRNA from 1 species